GACGAACGCUGGCGGCGUGCCUAAUACAUGCAAGUUGAGCGCUGAAGGUUGGUACUUGUACCAACUGGAUGAGCAGCGAACGGGUGAGUAACGCGUGGGGAAUCUGCCUUUGAGCGGGGGACAACAUUUGGAAACGAAUGCUAAUACCGCAUAAAAACUUUAAACACAAGUUUUAAGUUUGAAAGAUGCAAUUGCAUCACUCAAAGAUGAUCCCGCGUUGUAUUAGCUAGUUGGUGAGGUAAAGGCUCACCAAGGCGAUGAUACAUAGCCGACCUGAGAGGGUGGUCGGCCACAUUGGGACUGAGACACGGCCCAAACUCCUACGGGAGGCAGCAGUAGGGAAUCUUCGGCAAUGGACGAAAGUCUGACCGAGCAACGCCGCGUGAGUGAAGAAGGUUUUCGGAUCGUAAAACUCUGUUGGUAGAGAAGAACGUUGGUGAGAGUGGAAAGCUCAUCAAGUGACGGUAACUACCCAGAAAGGGACGGCUAACUACGU
rnacentral:rRNA from 1 species